CCAGGGAUCGAACCUGCGUCCUCUCGGAUACUACUCGGGUUUGUUCCCACUGAGCCCCAGUGGGAACUCCAGGACUAUAUUCUCUCAACAAUGGCACCCAGCUGUCUCAGGGAGCUGUCUGAGUCCUGAUUCUGCCACUCUGUGUGGGCACCACCCUUCCCACCUGUGUGUGACCUACAGAGCUGAGAGGCAGGCCUUCGUGCGUGCCUCCACGAUGGAAAGGAACGUUGAGAAGGACGAGACCAGCGCAGACUGUUUUUACGAGAACAUAUCUGAAGCAAAGCCACGAGGACCCAACCAACAGCCCAGCAGGGAGAAGGCUCCCUUCUUCUGCAAGCCCGCAGGGACCCCCACGUCCUAGAGAGAACUGCACCGAGGUACGUGAUGUGGGGAAACCCUAGACCAGCGUGGGGGAUGCUCCCCACCCCUCCUGGGGACAGGUGGCAAAGACUGACGUCAGUUUUGGUUGCCACAACGGGGGCGGGGUGUGGGAGGCGUGCUUCUGUCACCCGCAGGGUACAGACCCAAGAGGCUACAACACACGGGACGGCACCCACCCCUAACAAAGAGCCAUGCAGCUCAAAAGGUCAGCAGUGCUGAGGCUGAGGAACCCUGUCCUGGAUCGCCCACUCAUAAAGUCAAAAACAAUAACACAUGCGUUUAAAGUUUAAAGAAGAAACACAAGAAGCCUCGAAAGCAUUCCACGCACCCUCCGCAAGUUCACUCCUGAAACCACUGCUCUCCAACUGCUUAUUUUCGGUGUGAGUGUUUUCUGAAUCAUCCAUUCGAAAGUGAGUGGUUGACAUCACACCCCUUAACCCUCAAUACCUCCAAGCAUGCCUCCCAAGAACAACGCCAUUAUCCAGCUGCAGAAAUUGAAUACCCAUACAUUCAAACUUCACCAACUGUCCUAAGACAUGUUUUUAUGGAAACCUUCUCCCCUCAUCGACGUUGCCUUUGGUUUUGAUGUCUGUUUUUUGUCUUGAGUGGCACUGGCAUUUUCCAAAAGGACAGGGCCUUCACAGAAGGCUCUCAAUUUGGGCUGGCCUGAGACUGCCUCCUGAUUAUUUUCAGGUUGUGCACUUAGGGGAGGCAGAAGGGCCACAUUUGGCAGAAAUGCCGGAAGUAAAGCUGUGUCCACGGCAGUUUGUCCCACUGUUGGUGGUGCUAACAAAUCAGAAUUUUCUUUUAAGCAGGGUGCGUAAUGUUUCCUCUGGCCCAUACGAUGCAUACAGACCCCCGUCGGCCUCAUAAAUAAAAGAGUGGCUUGAA